CAAUGGGCGAAAGCCUGAUGCAGCGACGCCGCGUGAGGGAUGACGGCCUUCGGGUUGUAAACCUCUUUCAGCAGGGAAGAAGCGAAAGUGACGGUACCUGCAGAAGAAGCGCCGGCUAACUACGUGCCAGCAGCCGCGGUAAUACGUAGGGCGCAAGCGUUGUCCGGAAUUAUUGGGCGUAAAGAGCUCGUAGGCGGCUUGUUGCGUCGGAUGUGAAAGCCCGGGGCUUAACCCCGGGUCUGCAUUCGAUACGGGCAGGCUAGAGUUCGGUAGGGGAGAUCGGAAUUCCUGGUGUAGCGGUGAAAUGCGCAGAUAUCAGGAGGAACACCGGUGGCGAAGGCGGAUCUCUGGGCCGAUACUGACGCUGAGGAGCGAAAGCGUGGGGAGCGAACAGGAUUAGAUACCCUGGUAGUCCACGCCGUAAACGUUGGGAACUAGGUGUGGGCGACAUUCCACGUCGUCCGUGCCGCAGCUAACGCAUUAAGUUCCCCGCCUGGGGAGUACGGCCGCAAGGCUAAAACUCAAAGGAAUUGACGGGGGCCCGCACAAGCAGCGGAGCAUGUGGCUUAAUUCGACGCAACGCGAAGAACCUUACCAAGGCUUGACAUACACC
rnacentral:rRNA from 1 species